AUGCGCAGUGCAGCGCCACGCCCCCUCCCCGGAACCGGCUGCCGGCAGCCGGUGUGCAGGGGCUGCUGUGAGCCGAGGGAGGAGCGGAGGCGUCGCCGGGCUGCGGCUGCACGGAGGGAGAAGGCCGCGCUGAGGACGUGGUUGCCCGUCCCUCCCUUGGGGAUGCCGUCGACUGCACCCGCCUCGCCUGUGCCUGGCCUGGCUCGCCUCGUGGCGUGGGGGCGAAAAGGGACAGGUGGCGGAGCGCUUACCGGCCGUGGACAGGAGCUGCCCUAAGGGAAGCUGGAAUGGCCAGAGAAAGGUGAAGAAGAAGAAGAAGAAGAAGAGAUGGAAGGCUCUCCGGCCGGCAGCUGCCUCCCGCUGCAGGCAAGAGAGCGCCUGCCUCGCCGCGCGGAGGACAGCCGAGCGACCGGAGUGACAGCAAAGGAAAGGCGGAGAGCAGGAGAAAGAAGCGUCUGCGCUGGCAAGCUCUCCCGGCAGCGCCGAGAGCCAGAGCUGCGGUGCUGCUGCGCCGAUGCUCCGUACGUUCGCAGUAACGGGUAGAGCGGAAGGCUCCGUGGCCAGGGAAGAGCGGCACGGAGACGUUCCUGCUCGCUCCGUUGCACCGGAAUUUCGACGGCUGGGUUCGGCCGCUAAAUUGAUGGCGCUACCGGAAGAAAUUUCAGAAAAGUGAGUACUGUGCUUGUCUUUAAUCUUUUAAAGUAAUUUUUCUACGGGCGCCCGGUCCGUGGCUUAGAUAUUUGGUUUGCGGCGAAACAGACCCGGAACGUGGCUCCAAGUAGCGUUCCGAUUCGCUGAAAUUCCCCGUAGUCAGAGAGCAAGAAUCGUGAAUGUUGCUUGGCGGUUUGAAAUCUCAGGCUUUCUCUGAAA